rnacentral:rRNA from 1 species
GAUGAACGCUGGCGGCGUGCCUAAUACAUGCAAGUCGAGCGAACAGACGAGGAGCUUGCUCCUCUGACGUUAGCGGCGGACGGGUGAGUAACACGUGGAUAACCUACCUAUAAGACUGGGAUAACUUCGGGAAACCGGAGCUAAUACCGGAUAAUAUAUUGAACCGCAUGGUUCAAUAGUGAAAGACGGUUUUGCUGUCACUUAUAGAUGGAUCCCGCCGCAUUAGCUAGUUGGUAAGGUAACGGCUUACCAAGGCAACGAUGCGUAGCCGACCUGAGAGGGUGAUCGGCCACACUGGAACUGAGACACGGUCCAGACUCCUACGGGAGGCAGCAGUAGGGAAUCUUCCGCAAUGGGCGAAAGCUUGACGGAGCAACGCCGCGUGAGUGAUGAAGGUCUUCGGAUCGUAAAACUCUGUUAUUAGGGAAGAACAAAUGUGUAAGUAACUAUGCACGUCUUGACGGUACCUAAUCAGAAAGCCACGGCUAACUACGUG